AGUCAAGUGAGCGGCCGCACCGGCUCUCCCGGAGGGCGGGCGGCGACUGGAAAG
ensembl:miRNA